GUGGCGAACGGGUGAGUAAUACGUGAGUAACCUGCCCUUGACUCUGGGAUAAGCCCGGGAAACUGGGUCUAAUACUGGAUGCUACAUGUCACCGCAUGGUGGUGUGUGGAAAGGGUUUACUGGUCUUGGAUGGGCUCACGGCCUAUCAGCUUGUUGGUGAGGUAAUGGCUCACCAAGGCGACGACGGGUAGCCGGCCUGAGAGGGUGACCGGCCACACUGGGACUGAGACACGGCCCAGACUCCUACGGGAGGCAGCAGUGGGGAAUAUUGCACAAUGGGCGAAAGCCUGAUGCAGCGACGCCGCGUGAGGGAUGACGGCCUUCGGGUUGUAAACCUCUUUCAGCAGGGAAGAAGCCACAAGUGACGGUACCUGCAGAAGAAGCGCCGGCUAACUACGUGCCAGCAGCCGCGGUAAUACGUAGGGCGCAAGCGUUGUCCGGAAUUAUUGGGCGUAAAGAGCUCGUAGGCGGUUUGUCGCGUCUGCUGUGAAAGCCCGGGGCUUAACCCCGGGUGUGCAGUGGGUACGGGCAGACUAGAGUGCAGUAGGGGAGACUGGAAUUCCUGGUGUAGCGGUGGAAUGCGCAGAUAUCAGGAGGAACACCGAUGGCGAAGGCAGGUCUCUGGGCUGUUACUGACGCUGAGGAGCGAAAGCAUGGGGAGCGAACAGGAUUAGAUACCCUGGUAGUCCAUGCCGUAAACGUUGGGCACUAGGUGUGGGG
rnacentral:rRNA from 1 species